AUUUAAAAGCUUCUAACUUUUUUAAGAGCAUUAACUUGUUC
rnacentral:tRNA from 1 species